rnacentral:rRNA from 1 species
CCUGGUUGAUCCUACCAGUAGUCAUAUGCUUGUCUCCAAGAUUAAGCCAUGCAUGUUUAAGUAUGAGCAAAUUCAGAAUAUGAAACUAUGAAUGGGUUAUUAAAUCACUUGUAGUUUAUUUGAUGGUAUCUGCUACUCAGAUAACCAUAGUAAUUCUUGAGCAAAUACGUGCAACAAACCCAAAUUUCUAGAAAGGAUGCAUUUAUUAGAUAAAAGGUCGAUGUGGGCUUUAUCCAUUGCUGUGAUGAUUCAUGAUAGUUUGAUGGAUCGUAGACUAUUAUGCAGGCAAUGCAUCAUUCAAAUUUCUUCCCUAUCAACUUUUGAUGGUCGGAUAGUGGUUUACCAUGGUGGUGAUGGAUGAUGGAGAAUUAUGGUUCAAUUUGAAAGAGGGAGCCUGAGAAACAGCUACCACAUUCAAGAAAGGUAGUAGGUGUGCAAAUUACCCAAUCUUAACAUAGGGAGGUAGUGAAAAUAAAUAACAAUAAUGGGAACAAUGAGUUUGGUGAUUGGAAUGAGUACAAUCUAAAUCCCUUGAUGAGGAUCCAUUAGAAGGCAAGUAUUAUGCCAGCAGCCGUGGUAAUUCCAGUUCCAAUAGUUUAGAUUUAAGUUAUUAUGGUUAAAAGCUCAUAGUUGUACUUUGGGAUGGGAAUGUGCACCGGUCAUCUGAUCCAUUCUACCAGCGAUGCACUCCAUUCCUUAUCUAGCCGGGUCGUGCCUCCGACAAUGUUAGUUUAAAAAAAUUAUAGUACUCAAAGAAAGCCUACACUCUGUAUACAUUAGCAUAGGACAACAUUAUAGGAUUUCAGUCUUAUUACGUUGGCCUUCGAGAUUGGAGUAAUAAUUAACAGGGACAGUUGGGGGCAUUCAUAGUACAUAAUUAGAGGUGAAUUCUUGGACUUAUGAAAGAUGAAAAACUAUGAAAACAUUUGCCAAGGAUAUUUUCAUUAAUUAAGAACGAAAUUUAGGGGAUCAAAGACGAUCACAUAUCAUCCUAGACUCAAACAUAAAUGAUGCUGACCAGGGAUCGACGGAUGUUGCUUUUAGGACUCCGCGGACACCUUAUGAGAAAUGAACUCUUUUGGACUUUGGGGGGAGGGGGGAGAGGGGUAUGGCUGCAAGGCUAAAACUUAAAGGAAUUGAUAAAAGGGCACCACCAUAAGUGAAACCUACGACAUAAUUUAACUCAACAUGGGGAAACUUACCAGGUCUAAACAUAGUAAGGAUUGAUAGACUGAGAGCUCUUAUUUGAUUCUAUGGGUGGUGGUGCAUCGCUGUUCUUAGUUGUUAGAGAGAUUUGUCUAGUUAAGUUAAUUAAUGAAUGAGACCUUAACCUUCUAACUAGUUAUUCGGAGGUAUCCCUUCGCGGCCAGUUUCCUAAAGGGACUACGACCUUUUAGGCCAUGGAUGUUUGAGGCAAUAAUAGGUAUGUGAUGCCCUUAGAUGUUUUGGGCCGCACGUAUGCUACAAUAAUUUAUUCAAUGAGUUUAUAGCCUUGGCCGAUGAUAUACCCAAAUUACAAAUUUAUUACAAAAGUGUAAGUGGUCGUUGUCAAAUAUAGAACCCAACAAAGGUUGGGUCAAAUCUCACAAGGAUUACUUAUGCAACUAAGUAAACUGAUUCUUAAUGGACUGUUGAUCUAAGUUUCAAGAAUAAAAGGGGGUUUUAAUGUGUUAAUAAUAUUCUUUCAUGCUUUAAUUACACAGAGGUCCAGCUGAUUAAAGUUAAUGCAAAU